AUGUCCAUCCUGACGAUGUUCGAACCCAAGCAGGAUGAGCCACGUGACCUCCCGGCUCGGGGAAUGACCUCUGAGGAUGACCGUUCCCUGGGCAACCUGUCCGAUGCAAUGGCUACCACUGCGAGUAUCCCUCAGUCCAGGAGUCUCACCCUGCUGGAGGAUCUGUGCACCCCUCUGGAGGAGAACAGCCGUCUGGUUCCACCAACACCUCCACCCUCUACUGAGGGAGAAGAUGGGAAAAUCACAGAGAGCAGCAUGAACGAGCUGUGGAGGGAGGAUGAAGAAAAAGACAAAGAGGAGGAGACGGGGAACACUGAGCCCAUGACCGAAGCCAAAGAAGAGCAGGAGCUCUCGCAAGCACACGCAAGAGACAGUGAAGAUGAAAAACAGCUGGUUAUUGAUGAAGAUAAUGCUUCAGAGGCAGUGGACACGAACGCUCCACCUUCAUCCUCUUCCUCAUCAUUUGUAAUCCCUGAGUUGCGAUUAGAUCGGUCCUUCAGUGCAGAUGCCCUCUCCACCCCCGGAACCGAUGAAGAGUAUGAAGAAGAUGAAGAUGAUGAGGAUGAGGAGGAAGUAGGAGGUAGGACAGCGAUGAUAACUACCUGGAACGCAGUGACAGCAGUGACAGCAAACGGAGGAGCAUGGUAGAGGCCACUUCCUGCGAAAAGCACCCAGGUGGACUCAGUGUGCAGAAUUCCCUGCGCAGACGCACACACAGCGAGGGCAGUCUUCUCCAGGACCCUCGCACAACCUGCUUUACAUCUGACAAUGCCAUCAACUGUGUGGAGGUGACCGGGACAGACAAGGGCGGCUGGACGAUUCCAUCACCCAAAACCCUGAAGAAAGAGCUGACUAAGAACGGAGGGUCCAUGCACCAGCUGUGUAUGCUGUUCUCCGGAAGAAAAGUAAGUUCUUGUUCUUGCUCUGACAGUCAAACGGUUUAGGAAUCAUUUCCUUUAGUCAUUUUAUUUGCUUUAGCUGAUAUAUUACUGAGGCCAAGGCAAGCAUCACUAUUACCAACUGCAUUAACAUUAAGGACCUUUCUAGGGAAAAGAGUAACUUGUCCUUCACCAUUUGCACUUUGGACACUUGCUAUUACUUAUCCAAAAUGGUCAGACAAUAGUUGGAUUCGGACUUUGGGACCAAGCUUUUUUUAUACAUUUUUUUGACUUGGGCCAAUAAAGCAAAGUAAAGUAAAGCAAAGGAGUAAAAGCAAUGCAAAAGCCUGUUAUGGUGGCGAGCUAUGGACAGGUCUUCACAAAAGCACAUGCACAGUACAAGACAGAGACAGAAAUGUCUCAUUAGCACUCACACGAAAGUCAGAUUUUUAUCAUUUGUAUCCUUACCAUAAACUGCAGAACAAGGUAAGGGGUUUGGUCCAAUCACGUCAGUUCAUCCUGACACUUAGGCAAGUACUGACACAUGCCUUCAUAAACAGAUUCUAUUUCUGCACACAAGUAGAGAAAAAAGUUGAAUAGACUGUAAAGACUAGCAACAGGUGAUUAAUUAAAGGUUAGGCAACUAUGCAGUGCCAACACCAUACAGCACUUCAAUCAUAGUUUUAAGUCAUUUAACUAUUAAAGUAGUUUGUAGUAAUGUUUAAACUGUAAUUUGAAAUUCUACUGAUAUUUUAUUGCUCAUCAUUCCAUAAGUAAUUUGCUCCUAGAUAUUUGUUCAUAUGCACAUAGGGUUGCACUCUUAGUUUUGUCCACUAAGUGGCGUUCUCUCAGUUUAUUUUGCUCUCUAACCAGAGGGACAGUAUUUGAAGAUGUUAACUAAACAAACUGUUUUAAGAACACACUCUUAUUUACAUGUCUGUGAAUGCAUGCAGGAAUAACUGUUUUUAAGUAAGUGUGAUUUCUAUUGAUCCGAUUUAAAUAUAAUCAGAAGCAAGUAUAUAUAUGAAUAUGUAUAUAUGUAUAUACAGGUCCUUCUAAAAAAAUUAGCAUAUUGUGAUAAAAGUUCAUUAUUUUCCAUAAUGUAAUGAUAAAAAUUAAACUUUCAUAUAUUUUUAGAU
rnacentral:lncRNA from 1 species